GUGAGGAAUAUUGCGCAAUGGAGGCAACUCUGACGCAGCCAUGCCGCGUGCAGGAAGAAGGCGCUACGCGUUGUAAACUGCUUUUAACCGGGAAGAAACCCCAGGACGUGUCCUGGGUUGACGGUACCGGAGGAAUAAGCACCGGCUAACUUCGUGCCAGCAGCCGCGGUAAUACGAAGGGUGCAAGCGUUAUCCGGAUUCAUUGGGUUUAAAGGGUGCGUAGGCGGAGCGUUAAGUCAGUGGUGAAAUCCUGCAGCUUAAAUGUAGACUUGCCAUUGAUACUGGCGCUCUUGAGUGCGCUUGAAGUGGGCGGAAUGUGCCGUGUAGCGGUGAAAUGCUUAGAGAUGGCACAGAACACCAAUUGCGAAGGCAGCUCACUAAGGCGAUACUGACGCUGAGGCACGAAAGCGUGGGGAUCGAACAGGAUUAGAUACCCGGGUAGUCC
rnacentral:rRNA from 1 species